UACGGAGGGUGCGAGCGUUGUCCGGAAUCACUGGGCGUAAAGGGCGCGUAGGCGGCGCGGAUAGUCGGCGGUGAAAGCCCGGAGCUCAACUCCGGGGUCGGCCGUCGAUACUUCCGGGCUUGAGCACUGUAGAGGCAGAUGGAAUUCCAGGUGUAGCGGUGGAAUGCGUAGAGAUCCGGAAGAACACCGGUGGCGAAGGCGGUCUGCUGGGCAGUUGCUGACGUGAUGCGCGACAGCGUGGGGGAGCA
rnacentral:rRNA from 1 species